UCCCUGGUGGCUCAGAUGGUAAAGCGUCUGCCUGCAAUGCGGGAAUCCUGGGUUCAAUCCCUGGGUUGGGAA
rnacentral:tRNA from 1 species